UACGUAGGGUCCGAGCGUUAAUCGGAAUUACUGGGCGUAAAGCGUGCGCAGGCGGUUUUGUAAGCCAGAUGUGAAAGCCCCGGGCUUAACCUGGGAAUGGCAUUUGGGACUGCAAGGCUGGAGUACGGCAGAGGGAGGUGGAAUUCCAGGUGUAGCAGUGAAAUGCGUAGAUAUCUGGAGGAACACCGAUGGCGAAGGCAGCCUCCUGGGCUAGUACUGACGCUCAUGCACGAAAGCCGUGGGGAGCAAACAGGA
rnacentral:rRNA from 1 species